rnacentral:lncRNA from 1 species
AUGAAAGGAGCCAUGAAGUUUGUGGUGGAAGCCAGAAUUAGAGCCAAUUCCAGAGAUGAGCAAUAUUCCCACCUUGGUUCACAGCUCUCGUGCUACAAGCAUGGUCUACAAAAGCAAAGCCAACAGCUGCUUCCCAAUGUGCCUGCCAGUUUCAAUGAAGAAUCUCUUCAACCGC